UACGUAGGUGGCAAGCGUUGUCCGGAAUUAUUGGGCGUAAAGAGCGUGUAGGCGGCCAGACAGGUCCUUGUGAAAACUCGAGGCUCAACCUCGAGAUGUCGAUGGAAACCGUACUGGCUAGAGUCCGGAAGAGGAGUGUGGAAUUCCUGGUGUAGCGGUGAAAUGCGCAGAUAUCAGGAAGAACACCUAUGGCGAAGGCAGCACUCUGGGACGGUACUGACGGCGAGACGCGAAAGCGUGGGGAGCAAACAGG
rnacentral:rRNA from 1 species